AUUGAACGCAGGCGGCAGGCCUAACACAUGCAAGUCGAACGGUAACAGGAAACAGCUUGCUGUUUCGCUGACGAGUGGCGGACGGGUGAGUAAUGUCUGGGAAACUGCCUGAUGGAGGGGGAUAACUACUGGAAACGGUAGCUAAUACCGCAUAACGUCGCAAGACCAAAGAGGGGGACCCUCGGGCCUCUUGCCAUCGGAUGUGCCCAGAUGGGAUUAGCUUGUUGGUGGGGUAACGGCUCACCAAGGCGACGAUCCCUAGCUGGUCUGAGAGGAUGACCAGCCACACUGGAACUGAGACACGGUCCAGACUCCUACGGGAGGCAGCAGUGGGGAAUAUUGCACAAUGGGCGCAAGCCUGAUGCAGCCAUGCCGCGUGUAUGAAGAAGGCCUUCGGGUUGUAAAGUACUUUCAGCGGGGAGGAAGGGAGUAAAGUUAAUACCUUUGCUCAUUGACGUACCCGCAGAAG
rnacentral:rRNA from 1 species